rnacentral:lncRNA from 1 species
AUCGAUGACACAUCAUUUAGUUUGACAAAAUUUUCCUGGCAUUACCCCUUCAUUAAAGUUUUAGGAAGAUGGCAAAAGUGUAUAUUUAGCUAAUCUUUAUUUAUUUUUUGUUAGUCUCUCAAAAUAUUCUGAUGGGGAAACUUAGAAAGAAUAAGACUUUUCAAUUGAUUUUUUAUACUUUACAACAAGAACUUAACAAGCGUUUAAUCCAACCACUCCAAUCGCAUGACCUCAGACCCGAGACCCAACCAUGUGCCUAAAACCCAAGAGAAUCCGAACUCAAUAAUUUGGAACACCAGUGCAUUUUUCAUUAAUCCAAUUCCUCAUUCUUGUGUAGCCCCAAACAUGACAUUAGACUAAUGUUAUCCUUUCCAAUCCCACGUAAACUACUGCACUAAUCCAAUCCCAGUCCCUUAACAUGGUCAUGAGGAAAAGCUUUGUGUUGGAAUUUGAGUGUGGUGUUUAUUCAUCAUGUGAUGCAAACUCAAACCAGUUAAUUAUUCCGAGCACUAAGUAGAGAAUGAUCAGAGUCAGAGUGAGAGACCACUUUUCCUUUUAGAGGAUGAUGGACGUUGAAACAUGUCUUUCCCAACAUGGGGGACAAGGAACGGUGACUUGACUUCUUUCAUUCUUUGUGGGGUUAAUGACUUAAUGGGAUUUGAACCAACUCAGUUUCUGUUGAGAAAAUUAAAUUAAUUAAAAUUAACUUCAAUAAGUCUCGUAUUUUAGGGUUUGUAAGUAUAUAAAUCAGAUGAUGGUAUAACAAAUAAGCAUAAAUAUUGUCCCCCACAGUCACACAGAUCGAAUUGAUCCUAAAAGUUUUACUAAGCAAAUUGAAACAAAUCAUAGUUGAUAAGCUUUAACAUAAAAGUGAGAAGAUUUGAAUUAAACUGGAAAUUUAAAUUAAGCUUGAAAAUAAACACAUUGAAAUAAUAAUUUAAAAACAAACCAGACCUAGGGCAUCCGAAUUUACCGUAACCAAUUCUACUUAAUCCCCUUAAUAUGCUAUGAACAAGUAAUUACCCAAUAUUGAUAAUCGAUUUUCUCCAAGUUAUUUAAUGGUCAUGGCAUCUACUUAAUCCCCUAAGUGCAUG